ensembl:lncRNA
GGUGGGGGCUGGAACAGGUUGGAUGCUCGAUUCCUGAAAUAGACCUUGAAGACAAACAUCACCCUUUCAGACAAACAUCAUCCUUUCAGAACGAAAAUUCAGAGAAGAAAUGUAUCAAGCAAGACCCCUCUCUAGGAACCUCUUUUUGUACACCUUCCUACAAAACCAUGGCCCAGGCUUCCUGGACGACCAAGACUCAGGGCUUCCUGGUGUGACCAGUAUCUUGGAGUUCCACCCCAUCUCCCCCUACAGUGACAGUCCACACUACCUGGCCAUGCAGCUGGCCUCCAUUGCCGAUGAGAUGGAGCUGAGGUUGCUGCUGCCCCAGUUCGUUGAGCCCUUCUGGAUGACCAUGUACAGCUUGUUUUUCCCCUACAGCCACGUAGGGCUCAGGGAUGUUCUGAGAAGCUUUAUGGCUGCUUUCACCAACCUUAGGGAGAACCGAAGGCUCUGGAGCUUCCUGACUCUCAGGGACCGGGUGUCGCCCAGCCUGUGGCCCGAGCUGGCGCUGUCCCUGCUGGUGGUGGCGAUGCUCAGCUGGGGGUGCCGCCCCCACUGACCGAACUGCUGGUCAGUGUGGGGGUGGGGCUGGCCCCUCCCUCUCGACCACCACCCUGGCGGUGGCCCUGUUUUGGUGGUGUUGUCUUUUAACUGUUUUCUGAUGAUGCUUUUUUUUUUUUUUUUUAAUUUAAACUCUGAGUGCUGGGACACUGAGGUUCAUACUAUUUUUUUCCUUUUUUUUUUUUUUUGUAAGAGAAAUGAAUUUAUUAUACCUCUGGGGUCGUUACUGGUUAAUGACCUGCUCUCCCGGUGCCAGCCUGCUCUGCGGUGGCCUGUCCUGGGA